rnacentral:rRNA from 1 species
UGCUACCUGAUUCAGCGGCGGACGGGUGAGUAAUGCCUAGGAAUCUGCCCGAUAGUGGGGGACAACGUUUCGAAAGGAACGCUAAUACCGCAUACGUCCUACGGGAGAAAGUGGGGGAUCUUCGGACCUCACGCUAUCGGAUGAGCCUAGGUCGGAUUAGCUAGUUGGUGAGGUAAUGGCUCACCAAGGCGACGAUCCGUAACUGGUCUGAGAGGAUGAUCAGUCACACUGGAACUGUGACACGGUCCAGACUCCUACGGGAGGCAGCAGUGGGGAAUAUUGGACAAUGGGCGAAAGCCUGAUCCAGCCAUGCCGCGUGUGUGAAGAAGGUCUUCGGAUUGUAAAGCACUUUAAGUUGGGAGGAAGGGCAGUAAGCUAAUACCUUGCUGUUUUGACGUUACCAACAGAAUAAGCACCGGCUAACUUCGUGCCAGCAGCCGCGGUAAUACGAAGGGUGCAAGCGUUAAUCGGAAUUACUGGGCGUAAAGCGCGCGUAGGUGGUUCAGCAAGUUGGAUGUGAAAUCCCCGGGCUCAACCUGGGAACUGCAUCCAAAACUACUGAGCUAGAGUACGGUAGAGGGUGGUGGAAUUUCCUGUGUA